GACGAACGCUGGCGGCGUGCUUAACACAUGCCAGUCGAACGGAAAGGCCCUGCUUUUGUGGGUUGCUCGAGUGGCGAACGGAUGAGUAACACGGGAGUAACCUGCCCUUGACUGUGUGAUAACUUCAGGAAACUGGGGCUAAUACCGGAUAGCAGCUGCUGCUGCAUGGAGGGGGUUGGAAAGUUGGGGGGGUGGGGGAUGGACUCGCGGUUUAUCAGCUUGUUGGGGGGGUGGUGGCUCACCAAGGCUUUGACAGGUAGCCGGCCGGAGAGGGUGAGCGGCCACAAGGGGACGGAGAUACGGCCCUGACUCCUAGGGGGGGCAGCGGGGGGGAAUAUUGGACAGGGGGGGCAACCCUGAUCCAGCAAUGCGGUGUGGACGAGGGGGGUUUUCGGUGGGAAAAGGGCUUGCCGUAGGGAAGAGCGAAAGGACGGGACCUGGAGAAGAAGCGACGGCUAAAUACGUG
rnacentral:rRNA from 1 species